rnacentral:lncRNA from 1 species
CCCACACCAUCCUCUUGACCCCCUGCACUUGCAUGCUUAUAAGCAUUGGAGUGCCAGUUGUAGGCAGCAGCAAAGCAGUGUGAAAUUUCAGGCAGAACUUUCCCAAGGUUGAAGCAUGGUUACAGGAGCUUGUGAUAAGAAGAGCUGAGCAAUGGACAGUCAUCAGUUCUGUCACCGGUCAUCACUUCUGUUAAUUAUGGCAAAGCUAUGAAGAAAGCGACAGUGGGAUACAGAAGAUGCUUUAAUUCCAUUUCAUUGCCAGCUAGAAAGAGAAGUGGCCGUGGUUCUCCCUCUCCCCCU